rnacentral:tRNA from 1 species
GGCGGCGGUGGCGGCGGCGGCGGCGGCUCGUCCUCGGGUGGCGGGUCGGGCGCCGGUUCGGUCCAGCUGGCCGCCACC